rnacentral:ncRNA from 1 species
CCGGCUGUUCCAUCAGCCGUUCCCUACCCGGACAUGCGGAGCCGGCAACAGCUCCGUGUGAAGCUUCGGGGACAAUGUAGCCAACGGGUAACCGUUACACCAAACCGCGAGGCGCGGUGGAAUCUGCCAGCACGAAGGCGGUGAGGCAC